rnacentral:rRNA from 1 species
UAACCAAACGAAAGUUUGGCUAAUACCGCGUAAGCUCCAAGGAGGAAAGUAGGGGACCUAAAUAAGGCCUUACGCUAUUUGAUCGGCCGAUGUCGGAUUAGCUAGUUGGUGGGGUAAUGGCUCACCAAGGCAAUGAUCCGUAGCGGGUCUGAGAGGACGACCCGCCACACUGGGACUGAGACACGGCCCAG